rnacentral:rRNA from 1 species
AACGAACGCUGGCGGCAGGCUUAACACAUGCAAGUCGAACGCACCGCAAGGUGAGUGGCAGACGGGUGAGUAACGCGUGGGAAUCUACCUAGUUCUACGGAACAACGGAGGGAAACUUCUGCUAAUACCGUAUACGCCCUACGGGGAAAGAUUUAUCGGAAUUAGAUGAGCCCGCGUAAGAUUAGCUAGUUGGUGGGGUA